GAUAUCAAAACGAGACAUGCACCAGUAAUAUAAUGUUUACUGUUAGAAAGCGCAAAGCUGUUAAAAGCACAAUGAUAAAAAAUCAAAAUUAAGUUAAAAAAAUAUAUGUGUGAAUUUAUAGAGAAUCUUAACCUAAUUAAUUUGUAUAAAUAUAGUUGAAGAAUUCAUCUCUCCAACGACAUAUGUGGAUCAUGGUUUCGACAUGCCUGCAACGAGAUGUAUUAAGUCUGGAUGCACAAAGUUGUAAGAUUAUAAUGACAAAAUUUAAAACUGAGAUCAAAAAAUUAUUUGUUAUAAAUAUUAAAAGAUUGUAGACCUACUUUUUUGUAUAUAUCGUAGUUCGAGAAGUUCUAACACCAACGGCACAAGCUUUGGCGUGUCUGCAGAAAGAUAUGAUUUUAUUAGUAAGGACACGUAAAGAUGUGAAAAUUAUAAUACCAAUAUUUCAAAAAUAAAUUCAAAAGUAUAUCUUUAUAAAUAUUCAAAGAAUCUAGAUAUUUUUUUUUGUAUAUGUUUUAGUUUUAGAAGUGCUCUUUUCAACACACAAGUGAAUCAUGGUUUUGAGGCAUCUACAGAGAUAUAACUUUUUUAGUCAAGACGCGCUAUUUUUAGUAAAUUUCAUCAUACAUGAGUAGAAUUUUUUGAUGCAUUUAAAUUGUUACCUUCUAAAAAAUGUGGUCAGAAAGUAACCACCAGGAACCUAAGGAGGGAAUUAUAGAUUGUAAAGCAAUGGAAACAAAAACAAAAAUAAAAACAAAGGUUGUCUGCGUAAGGUUUCACUCUCCAACAUAACCCUCUCCCCCUGAAUAGGCAUCAUCCAAAAAGAAACAUGAGCAGAACAUGAGAAAAGCUCAUUCUGUAUUUCUAAAAAAAAAUUGCUGGAAUAAAAAUUAUAAAUAUUUCAGCUUUCUAAUGUGGUUUAAUAAAAAAUAUAAAUAUAUUAAGCCUUGAGAGUUCGUCUUUAAGACUGUUCACCUCUUUCUGUUGCUGCUUCUGCACGUGUGUCUGCAACUGCGCUUGUGGCUAUGGCUGCUGGUUGUCCUUAUUCAAGGAAAAGCAAAAUUGAGCAAAUUCAACAACCUCUACUAAUAGGACCAUAUGAAUAGAUAAAGGACUGUUUAAACACGAUUAACGGAUUAAGUAUUCACACUAUCACCACACCCAACCCUCCACCAUUGUACAAAAAAUAGAAUCAUCUAUAUAUGAGCCAAGUUUCAAUAUGUUCGUUCUGACAAAUUUAAUAACAAACUUGACGAUAAUAUUUUAACCAAGGAGAGCAUAGUUGAUAUCUGGCAUAGAUUUAUUUUGAAUACAAUGAAAGUUAAACCAUACAACAGUGAGCUCCAUAUCAAUGAAAGAAUAUUUUAUACAUAAUUUAAAUUACUAGCAUUUUUUUAGACAACUGAAAAAUAUAAUUGUGAAUACAACUUUAACAAACAGAUAGAGAAAUAAUCAUGUUACACAUAAUUGUUUCAUAUAUAAGAAAAAUUUCUGUAUGAAACGUGCUAAAGAAAAUAAUAACAAACUUUUCGAUGAUAAACUUUCAGAAAUAAAAGAAAUACCGGUAUAAUCAUUUAAUUAGUAAAGUUUAUAGUGGAAAUUUUAUCUGUUAACCCAGAAAAGAAGAGAAACUUUAAAACUAAGUAAAUUUAAAUAACAAAUAUUACCGUAAGUCCGCCCUAAAGAAAUUAAUAACAAACUUUCUGUUAACAAACUUUCAAAAACAAAAACAGAAUACUGAUACUACACAUAAUCGUUUAGUUAGUACAUUUUAUUGUAAAAAAUUUAUCAUAAAAGUAGAAAAGAAAGAAAUUUAGAACUAUGUAAAGUUGACUAUCUUACCUAUGCAUCCUGUAAAAUCAACUCAGUGGAAUAUGGUAUUUCAGUCUUCAUACGAUCCAGGAUUUUCACGUUCAAACGACUCUAACUUUGAGAUUCAAUUGCAUCAAGUUCCUUGAAAUUUGACUGAUUUCAUGAAGUAUUAUAGUCAUAUUUGCAAAGUUAUGUAUUUUGAGCAGAGAAAAAGGGAAUGUAGAAGAAAAGAAGGAACAUACUGUUUGAGACAUUAUUAGUGUAGGAGACAAUUUUUAAGUAAUGAAAUUAGGUUUUGAUACCCACGUUUGGAAAGAGUGAUGCCCAUGUUUGGAAGAGGAUCGUGGAAUGUUUUUCUUUUUUCCUUUCUUCCUAUUUCUAUGUAAAAUGAUUUGUAAAG
rnacentral:lncRNA from 1 species